GUGGGGAAUCUUGCGCAAUGGGCGAAAGCCUGACGCAGCCAUGCCGCGUGGAUGAUGAAGGUCUUAGGAUUGUAAAAUCCUUUCACCGGUGAAGAUAAUGACUGUAGCCGGAGAAGAAGCCCCGGCUAACUUCGUGCCAGCAGCCGCGGUAAUACGAAGGGGGCUAGCGUUGCUCGGAUUUACUGGGCGUAAAGGGCGCGUAGGCGGACAUUUAAGUCAGGGGUGAAAUCCCGGGGCUCAACCUCGGAACUGCCUUUGAUACUGGGUGUCUUGAGUAUGAGAGAGGUGUGUGGAACUCCGAGUGUAGAGGUGAAAUUCGUAGAUAUUCGGAAGAACACCAGUGGCGAAGGCGACUCACUGGCCCAAUACUGACGCUGAGGCGCGAAAGCGUGGGGAGCAAACAGGAUUAGAAACCCGUGUAGUCC
rnacentral:rRNA from 1 species